CCUUGACAUAGUCCAAUUCAAUACCCCCUCCCUGCUUCAGGCAGGCGUCCUCUUUUUGUGUCACCUGCCUUCUCGCUGUGGAAAUGGAGACUCGACGCCAACCAGGGAAACCUGUAGCAACAUACAACACACAUCAUUAUUAUUCCACCAAUUCCCAUAUGCCAUUUCAUUCUACUAUCAUCUCCCUAGACCUUUCUAUGUAACCCUGUCAUCUUGGUACGAGUGGUAUGAGCCACUCGGUGUCCUAUACCCCCUUUUGUUACAGUAUUCCUCAGUUCCUUCCCCUGGCGGCGUCCUUUGUCUCCUUCACUCGUUCGUAGUCCCGCUGUGUCCUGGGGUCCACUCCUGUCACCGUUCCGGCUGGUGCUGGUCCUCCUUCCGUCCACACUGGGGAAAGCUCUUCCUUCCAGGUUUGGAUGAGGUCCGUCAGUGACCUCCCUGGCUCCUGCGCUGGUCUCUCCUUUUUCCCUCAGACGGACCGCAUGACUCGUUCUCUCCACCACCUGAUGAGGACCCGUCCACCUUGGCUCCGACCACUUUCGUUUGAUGACCUUCAGCAGCACCCACUCCGCCUGGGGCAGGUUUUGGUCCAGCGGGUGCAGGUUCCUCCGUUCUCUGACUCUGUUGGUGAAUUCUGAAACGAGAGCUCGCAAUUCAUAAAAAUACACUCUGUGAUCUUUGGGCCACUUUUCCCCUUCCGGGACCGCAGGCCCCGCGGCUGGUCCUGGAAACAGUCUCCCCGUCAGCAGCUCGUAUGGGGUGAACCCAGUGGUCUGAUUUAACGAACAUCGAAUAGUCAUGAGUGCCAGUGGAAGUGCAUCUACCCAGUUCAAUUUGGUCUGUGCACAUAUCUUAACUAACUUGUUCUUUAAAUUUUGGUUCAUCCUUUCUACUCUUCCCUGGGACUGUGGGUGGUAUACAGUGCCAAAAGCAUGCUUAAGGCCCAAUAAGCUCUCUACCUUCUGUAAGUCAUUGUUCUUAAAGUGAGUCCCGUUGUCUGACCUAAUUUUCUCUGGGAAGCCGUGUCUGGGAAUGUACUGGUUUAUUAAACACUUCUGGCCACCCUGUGAACACACACUAACAUGUAACGGCACCCAUGUACUGUUUCCCCCAUGUCUGUGUAGUCUAUCACUAUCUCUUGUCCAGGUCUCGUCGUCAUGGGGAACGCCCCCAUCUCAGGUUUAAUCGUUGGUUUUGGAUUGUGGUGAGUGCAGAUGGUGCAUGUCCUAGUGUAGUUGCGUACCAUGUCUACCAUAAACGGAUGCCAGAAGUGGCACAAGUUUCUUAACAUUUGAGCCGGCCCUACAUGGCCCAAACCAUGGGCUUCUGCAAAUGUAUCUCCUCCCAUAGCUAGUGGAAGUAUUACUCUACCAUCUGGCCCUCUCCAGAGCCCUCGCGUCUCUGUUGCUCCUCUCUGUCGCCAAAUUGUUUUCUCUUGUGGGACGCCCCCUUUUGAUGUCUCACUAGCUCGUCUCUCUCAAGGCCUUCUCCCCACCACACUUCCUCUUCUGCUCUUACCAUCAUCACUCGCGGAGUGUACCCUGCUGCCUGUUUUGCUGCUGUGUCUGCCGCUUGAUUUCCCUGAGCUACUGCACUAUUUGAGUUAUCGUGUCCUUUGCAUUUUAUGAUGUCUACUUUUUCGGGCAGGUCCAGGACCUUGGCUAGUUCUCUCAUCUCCGCCUCGUGUUUAAUCGGUUUGUCCCCUGCUGUUCUAAACCCAGCUUUUAACCACUUUCCUAAUUCCACGUGCGCCGCCUCUACCGCGUAUGCCGAAUCUGUGUAAAUGUUUUACUCUCUUCCCCUUGGCCUGCCUGAGUGCCUCUAUCACUGCUCUCACUUCUGCUCUCUGAGCUGACUGCAGCCCCUGGAGCCUCUCUGCUUUCACUGUGACUAAACCCUCUGGUGUUAGUUUCACGCCCUCAGCCCAUCUUGUUCGUGUCUGAAACAGCACCCAUCAGUGAAGAGGUCCUCUGCCCCUGGGAGGGGUUCUGCCUCCAGAUCAGUUUGUG
ensembl:lncRNA